rnacentral:ribozyme from 1 species
UGCAUUGUACAAUAUUCCAGUGCCAUUCAGAAAGACAAAACAGUGUAUGUUCAUGGUAAUGUUUCCUCGUUCAUGGUAGUGUAUGUUUUACAUGUCUUUCCGCAUAUCUGAGCUUGGGUAAACGGGGAAACCCAACCCCUUGGGAGGAUGGAAGACAUGGCUAAUUUGAGAGGA